UUAACAUGUGAGCGAGUCAUUGGGCUUUACGAAAACCCAAAGUCACGGUGAGGGUAAAGAUUUGGCUUGUCCAGGCUGAGGUGAGAUCCUGUUGUUUCGCUCAUUAAUUCCAAGCUGCGAGCAGCAGGCGCAUCACCGGCCGGUUCCAUGACGUAGACAUGUGGCCUUGUGCUAUGUGCACCGUCGGGGCGGAGCAAGAACGUACAUGAUGAGACCCGAAAGAUGGUGAACUAUGUUUGCGAAGGUUGAAGCCAGAGGAAACUCUGGUGGAGGACCGUGGCGAUUCUGACGUGCAAAUCGAUCAUAUAACGUGAGUGUAGCGGCGAAAAACUAAUCGAACCAUCUAGUAGCUGG
rnacentral:ncRNA from 1 species